AAAAUAAAAAUAAAAAUUAUUAUUGCUUGAUUGGCCAAAUUUUCACGGCUUUUGAGGAAGUGGGUGCCUUAAUGAAAGAGCUUGAGGCAUGAGGUGUCAGUAGAAACUACAGUCUCUCUUUUGGAUAAAGUUUGUGCAAAUGUGAAUUCUGAUGUUGUCGGAGUCGCUUUCUCUGAUUGGAAAAUUGCUCUAGAACUUUCAAGCAUCAGAAAUUGUUGGAUAUAUUGGGUCGUUUGAUAUUAAAUUAAAAUUAGACAGA
rnacentral:misc_RNA from 1 species